rnacentral:rRNA from 1 species
GAUGAACGCUGGCGGCGUGCCUAACACAUGCAAGUCGAGCGAUUCUCUUCGGAGAAGAGCGGCGGACGGGUGAGUAACGCGUGGGUAACCUGCCCUAUACACACGGAUAACGUACCGAAAGGUACGCUAAUACGAGAUAACAUAAGAAAUUCGCAUGGAUUUUUUAUCAAAGCUCUGGCGGUAUAGGAUGGACCCGCGUCUGAUUAGCUAGUUGGUAAGGUAAUGGCUUACCAAGGCGACGAUCAGUAGCCGACCUGAGAGGGUGAUCGGCCACAUUGGAACGGAGACACGGUCCAAACUCCUACGGGAGGCAGCAGUGGGGAAUAUUGCACAAUGGGCGAAAGCCUGAUGCAGCAACGCCGCGUGAGCGAUGAAGGCCUUCGGGUCGUAAAGCUCUGUCCUCAAGGAAGAUAAUGACGGUACUUGAGGAGGAAGCCCCGGCUAACUACGUGCCAGCAGCCGCCGUAA